UCUCAUUUUGCCACUAAAGCCCUUCAUCCUGGGUGGUCAGGACUGGGUGCUUCAGCCCUGCAUUGUACUGAGCCCACUGGUUCUUUUAUAAUGGGAAACUGGCUGGAGUUCCGGGCUGGUGGGAACAGGUCUGUAAUCCCCGCCCCCCCGCCCCGCCCCCAGGCACUAGCAGAUUGGAACAGAGGUUUACAGACACUUAGAGGCGGACAGUACACUACAGGACUACAGGACGGGCGGGUCCUUAGAAAAGGGGAUGAGGGAGCGAAUAGGAGCCUUGCAGGUCAGCCUUACACUCACUUUACACCUUCGAGGAGCUGCACUGCCCCUCCUUGGGGGGUGGGGGGGAAGCCGAGGGGGCGGGUGUGCGAUCCUCUUGGCAUCUUUGGACAAGGAAAAUAUCAAAAAGGUCACAAAGAGACCAAGCAUUCUUCUCCAAACCUUGACGAUUUCCCCAACAGACGUUAAGUUGCCAUCCAGGUCCAGAUAGUCUGUCAGUAACUUAAUCUUCUGGAACGAACCGUUUUCAGGAGUCUAAAAUACCUCUUAAAGUUUGAGAAAUACCGGAAUGACAGGUUCUGACCUCUUUUGCUUUUUCGUUUGUGUGUGUUGUUGUUGUUUUUUUUUUCUCUUGUAGUUCUGGUUUGUGUGUUUGUGAGAGCAGGCAUGUGGAGGCCAGAGGUCGAUGUCAAAUGUCUUCACCCAUCACCUUUCACUUUAUUUGUUUAUUUUUAGCAAAGCGACAGUAAUUUCAUUUAAAGAGACAAGACGGUUUUCACAGGAGUGGCGGGCUCCUAGAGUUUCAAACGUCCGAGGGCGGCCACACCUAAUUUUUUGAGGCAGGGUCUCUUACUGAACCUGGAACCCACAGACUGGGCUGCACUGGCCGUCCAGAAGGACCCAGGGAUCCUCCUGUAUCAUCCAUUCCAGAGCUGGGAUUACAGGCGAGUGUUACCCCGCCCCAGAUUUUUUUUUUUACGGGGGCUCUAAGGGACUGAACACAUGACCUGCUUGCUUAGCGAGCUCUUUACCCUCGGAGCCACCUCUCCAGCCUGAAGUUUUGCUUUCUGCCCUGAACAUUUUGACUGAGGACCACCUUGCUUUGUGUCAGUUUCCGGCUACCAGACCCUCCUCCCCCAUGUUAGGUGACAAAAGAUUCCCUGAUCCUGGGCUCUACAAAGUCCUCUUCCGGUUCCUGAGCCAGCGAAUCUAUGCUGCACCAAGAUGCAGCUGUGGAAGCUUUGUACCUUGUUUAUGAGAAUUUGCUGUUUCUGGCAUUUUAUUUUCUAGCUGUCCCCUCUGCCACAACCCUCACCCCUGGCCUUCAGUAUAUGAGGAAUCUGACCACCGACUUUCAACUUGAAUGGCGAGCUGAGCAGACCGCAUAGAAUCAUUGAUUGACUCUGGCAAAGUCUGAGGUCGGCUUGGUUUUCCUUGCUAUUAUUGUUGGGUUGUGGGGUUUUUUUUUGUUUGUUUGUUUGUUUUGUUUUUGUUUUUGUUUUUUUCUCCCUUAACUUUUUCUUCCCAGAAACUUCCCAGAACUUUUUCUUCUACUCAUUCGUUUUCAACGAGCUGAAAUCAUUUAAGAUCCUCUUGACGCUGAGCGCAGCGCGCAUGCCAUUCUUGCUGCUGGCCACAGGCCCUGUUGCCCGUCCCCCGUUCACCUCAGUGUUCUUUCUUUCGUCCUGUUCUGGUGUGCAUGUGUGCGCUUUCUGUUGUACUUGGGGGCUUUGGCUGUACAAAAGAUUCCAACUAUCCUAGAUAGCUGAUUGUGCUGUGCCUGCCCCCUAGGAGACUCUUCUAAGUAACUUAAUCUGUCUCUUUCCUUUGGGCUUAAAGCAAGCCUUUCUGUUGUUAAAAUAUUUGUAUUUGGGGCUGGAGAGACGGCUCAGCGGUGAAGAGGCCUUAGUGCUCUCACAAAAUACUCAGGUUCUAUUCCCAGCACCCACCUGGUGGCUCACAACCAUCUGAAGCUCCAGUUCUAGGGACUCUGAUGGCCUCUUCUGGCCAUGACUGUCACUAACCAUGCACACAGUGCAACACAUACAUUCAGGCAAAACGCUCACAUAAAUAAAAUAAAUCUAAUUAAAAAAAUUUUAAAUAUAUUUAUUUAUCUUGUCAUCUUCUCUCAUUCUUUAACACCAGGUAUACAGGGUCAAACCUAGGAGGCCUCACGCACGCUAGGCGAGCAUCUCAGAGAGAGAGAGAGGGAGAGAGAGAGAGAGAGAGAGAGAGCGCGCACCCGGCUUUUUUACUUUAAAGACCCCUUGUGAGCCUCCUGUGCUACUCUGUCUCCCACUCCACAGAACUAUACUUGGAUGGCUUCCAUUGCAGCUGCUGUACUGUGGUGCACUGCAAUCUUAAGCUGCUUUUCAUCUAACUCAGUGGGUUCUGCUUUGUCAGGAGAGCAAGGGCAGCCUCUUGUUCCGAAGGAGGAGCUCACACUCUGGUCAGGGUAUACGGCACAGCCCGUAAGAACUCGAGCGAGGCCUGUGCCAAAACCCUGGGCUUGCUUUCUCCACAGAGACUCUGGUGUCUGGUACUGCUCACUGCCCAUAGGGGAGAGGCGAAUGGAGUCAACCAUUUGUCUUGGAUUGCUCCCCAACUGUGGCCGUCCCCUCUCAAGGGCCUCUGCUCACACAAAGGCCCACUGCUCCUCCGAGAAAAAGAAAUAAGGCCAUACUUGGCCAUUCGCUUCUUUCCUGAUGACUAAAAAAAAGUGUUCAAGACUUCUGUUGGACCUGUAGAACAGUUUCUAAUGCUCGGAGCACAGUUAAAGGCACUUUUAAAGAAUCUCAGAAUUGAAAAUGAACGAACAAAAGCUAAGGCAAGGGUUAAGGUUAUCCAGCCUGUAGACGGGCUUCUAGGCUGACUGCUGGGUGCAUCUUCCUGUUGGAAAAACACUUUCCAAUAAUUUUCACCCCUUCCUCCACCCCAUCCGCACCCCUUGCCCUCCUCCGCCCUUUCCUCUGCUUCCCACUGUUGUUAUAGCAGCCAGCUUCCUCUCAGGUGCUUGCCUGCCGUUAGUUCUUCCCUGGAUUGCACACACCAGCUUAACUCUCUUUUUGUUGUUUGCUUCUUUGGAGGUAGCCUCUUACUAUGUAGCCUCGGAUGGCAUGGGAUAACCUGCUGUUAUCCAUGAUAACCCAGACUGGCCUUGAGCUCACACAUAAAUCCCUUUUUCUCUGGUACCUCAGCCCAGGGAUUAAAGGCUUAAUUCUUUGAGAAUUCCAAAAGAAAGAGAUUCAAGUUUCAUUCUUUGUGUGCACAUGUGUGGGUUGGCUGUAUGUCUGGGUGUGUGUCCCUAGACACAAGUAAGCUAAGGUUAGACACAGGUAGAGUCAGAAGUCUUUCCUCUAUAACUUCCUGCUUGUUCUGGACACAAGGCCUCUGGCUGAACACAAAGCUUACUGUUAAGGUUAGGCUAGCUAGCCAGAGGGCUGCUGGGAGCCACCUGUUUUCACUGUCCAGGGCUGGGGCUAAAGGUUUGCAUGGCUAUGGCUUGUAUGUGAAGACUGGGGAUUUGAACUCAGGUCCUCUCAUUUUUUUCAGAACUAAGGCUCUGAACCUCCUCACCAGCCCCUACUAUACUUUAAAGAUACUUCAAGGAACUGGACAGUGGUCUUUGAAUAUCCCUUGGGGGGUUGAUGCCAGGAGCUUUACCCCCAGAAUCCUCAAGUCCUUUAUAAAAGUGGCAGGGUAUCUGCACAGAACAUACAUCCUCUCACGUAAAGUAAAUUGCCACCAUCUUACUUAGAAUACUCUGUACAACGGAACUAGCUCUUAUACCGUGUCUUCGUCUCUGUUCUAUUGCUUUGGAGAGACACCGUGACCAAGACAUGUCUUAUAUAAAGGAAACAUUUAAUUGGGGUCUUGAUUAUACUUUCAGAGGUUUAGUCAGUCCAUUACCAUCAUGGUGGGAACAUGGCGGGGAACAUAGCGGCAUGCAGGCAGGUGCUGCAGCAGAAGCUAAGAUCUACAUCCUGCUAUCUUGAUCCACAGGCAGAGGAGAGAGAGAGAGAGAGAGAUAGAGAUAGAGAGAGAGAGAGAGACAGACAGACAGACAGACAGACAGACUGACUGACUCUGGACCUGGAGCCGGCUUUUGAAACCUCAAAGCCCACCCCCUAGUGACACAAGUCCUCUAAUAAUACCACACCUCCUAAUCCCUCCCUCCCUGACAGCUCAUCAACUGAGUACUAAUCGUGAACUAACGAGCCAAUGAUGGUCUAUCUCAUUCAAACCACUACACACUGUUUUGGGGGGUGGAGUGGGGGGUUAGUGGCAUAAAAACAGGUCAUACAUGAUCAGUAUGGACCCUGGCUCAGCCUGCAGUCAUGAUGGCUAUACUUGAGAAGGGUGGGCAAAACACAGGCUCUGUGCCAGCACCUCUGAUUUCAUGAAUGAUAGAAUACACUUUAGACGUUUCUGGAACCAGAAAUGGCAGCAUGAACAACUCUUCUCACUUGGUUGCCCGUUUUCAAGAACUUCUUAAGGUCAGUGCAUUUUAAUUUGGGUGACAGGUUAGAUUAAAAUAUGAAGGCCAGUAAUCAGAGAAUAUAUUUGUAUCACUGAAUCUUCAACAGUGUGAAUGUCUAGAGAUGUAACAGGAAAAUCAGUCUACUGAGGCUUGGUGUGGACAGGUAGGAGUAGUAGAAUAUUCAUUUGGGAAUUUGGGAGUGGUCUAAUUUUUUUUUCUUUUCUUUGUUUGAGAUAAGAUCUCACCAAGCAGCUUACUCCUGCCUCUAACACAACAUCCUUUCACCUCAGUCCCUUGAGUUUUAAGUGAGAUUACAGGUUACUCAGUAGAUGGAGGUAUGCAUGUUUUACGUCUGGUCUGGGGCUGUAGCUCCGCAGCCGACUGUUAUCAUUUAUCUGAUAUGGUUGCACCACUACCACCACCAACCCAACAACAACAAAAAGUAGUUUCACUUCUAAAACAGUACCUCUUAGGCUAUGGUCUUCCUAGAUUUAUUUUAGACACAUUGUUGAGUAACUCAAACCAAACCUCAGAGAGCUCUUUAACUCAACAUUAACUACUUAACUAAAACUUGCAGCCCUGAGAAUCCAAGCCAGGAAAUCCAAGACUACGAGGAAGGGGCACUACAACUUCAGCUCUCUUUAAAUGUUCAAAUAAAUACAGGGGAAAAAACUUUAGAAUAGUCACAUCCGGGUUUUUCUUUUUAUGAUUUAAAUUUGAAAAGCCACUUUUGAACAACAGUCACUUCCUGCGCCACACUGAUGAACCUCAUUAACGAUCCCCAAAUUGCUAGUGUGUUGGUGAAGUCGAUGAAGCCAUAUUUGGUGUGACCUCUGUUACCCCAGUACCAGACCCCACCUCAUUACUCUCCCAAGGCUGCACAGAAGGACUGACAGGCAAGGGACAGGGGACAGUAGGGCAAACUCAGUCUCUGGUCCCAAUCUUAGCACCUUUCUUAGAUGACACUUGGGCUAUUUCCUAAGAUCUCCUGUCACACAAAACAGGGACAUAAAACAAACAUUAAAACACAAAAGUUCAUAGGUUGUCAAAGUUUUCCAGUAGAGCCAUGUUAACCAAAUAAAUGGGUCAAUGGGGCCAACGGUUUACCGCAUGCACUAUUGGCUGGCUUGGAAUAGAAAUGCAAGCUACCAAUAAACUCAGUGCCUUUCCUGUAUCCCAUCCCUGCCCAUCUUCUGCGGGCCACAACCCCUUCAGUGACCUCGUAGGAGCUUGAACAAACGAUCCUGGGACCUUAGGAAACCCCUUGAGACAGAAAGUAAACAACUCAACAUAGUUUCAGGAAGUCCCUGAAGCUAACAAGACUCACUAGGCUCCUUUGUAGUAAACAGUAGAGGAGAGUCUAGAAAUGCAGAGAAAGGCUGAGAAUUGCCCUCAGGAAAGCAAAACUGCAAAUAAAUUCCAAGACCAGCCUGGACAAAGCAGAAACCAGUCAAGCAGCCUGGAAGAAGCAGAAACCAGUCAAGCAGCCUGGAAGAAGCAGCCACCUGGAAAAGAUACCCUCUAACCUGCCUGCAGGCUGUGCAGUGUGCUCCAGGUCCUGGACCACCUUCCAGAUGACUGAGGCCCUGGUGGGCCAUGAGCUUCCCUCAAACCUGCACAUUUGAGACUCAGUACCAUUCUCUGGGGCUCUGUGUCCUCACCUGCCAGCCAUAUUUUCAUGGAUGCAGCACUCAUGGAACAGCAGAACAAGAUGUAGAACUCUCAGCUCCUCCAGCCCCACAUCUGCCUGGAUGCUGCCCUGCUCCCACCUUGAUGAUAAUGGACUGAACUUCUAAACCUGUAAGCCAGAU